GAUAAAAGCGUCUGCUAAAUGGCAUAUUAUUAUUAUUAUUAUUGUGAUAUGGUAUGUUACAUUGCGUCAGACCACCGCUAUGGGUGAAUUAGAAUGCUGAUUAUACUGAACAUUGUCAAUGUAAACAAACAGCCUUAAAACAUGGUUAAAACGAUAGUUUUGGUAUCGUUUUUGGUCAGUCCUUGCAUCCAUAGCUCUCUCUAUGCAUUUUUGAGUGGUUACAUUUCGGCAGGCCCAUCUCUCAGCUUUUGACCACUUUGUUAUUGUUUCAAAUAUUUCAAUUAUUAAUUGAUAUUGCAACAGCAUGUUGGUUUAACAUCAAAAGUUGAAAUUACAUUAAAAUAUAUAAUAUCGGUAAUGUGUGAUCAGCAAGCAUUAACAAAGUAUUGAAUGUGCAUAUUUUGACAAGUGUAUGGACUUCCUACUGUCUUCUUCUACUACAGGUCAUCUAAAAUCUAUGGACUUCCUGCUGUUCUUCUACUACAGGUCAUCUAAAGUGUAUGGACUUCCUGCUGUCUUCUUCUACUACAGGUCAUCUAAAGUGUAUGGACUUCCUGCUGUCUUCUUCUACUACAGGUCAUCUAAAGUGUAUGGACUUCCUGCUGUCUUCUUCUACUACAGGUCAUCUAAAGUGUAUGGACUUCCUGCUGUCUUGCCUUUGAUUGAAUUAAUUGUCCUUGUUGUCACACAAGCAGGACAACAUGAGUGAACACACUGGAGAGAAACCUUUUAGCUGUGAUCAGUGUGGGGCGAGGUUUGCUCUAUCUUUUACCCUGGCAAUACAUCAGCGAAUAGUCACUGUAGAUAAACCUGGGUUAGGGUUAGUCCAACUAAAAGACGACGUCAGAACGAUACAGGACGAUCCUAGUGGUAUGGUCCCGAGUCCCAACCAGUCUGAUGGUGGUGAUGAUAAUGCUGAUGAUGCGGUAGACUGCCACGUGGAAGACAUCGUUUUGUUGCCUAGCAACGGACUGAAGGCAGAGCCUUUGAGUCCCAGGCAAUCUGAUGGUGAUGAUGAUGCUGCAGACUGAUGAAUCGAACAAAGCGGGAGGAGCAACGGACUGGAGGCGGAGUCAGCUUCAGUGAAGCACACCCCAGAGCAGAGGGAGAGUGGUGACAUGUCUCUCCCGCCCCCCUCCCCGCUCCCGGAGUUCCCAGGUCGUGCCUCUCCCCGUAGCGCCUUACUGUGGGGUCUGAAGAGGGUGUCUGUGCGGCUGGUGGACUGCAGGAAAACACCGGGGCUGAGUGGAACUGUGAGAGAAGGAAAACAGGAAGAUUCAGAUUCAAUGUCAUCGAGUAAGAAGAAUGGAGGUUAUCGCUGGGGUGGCGCAUGAAGUGGAUGCAGAUGAUAUACCCGAGGAAGUAGGUGAAGUGAUUGGUGCACGUCAACUGACGGGUAUUGUGGAUGGAGUAAUGAAAUUCACUUCAUCCAUACUACUGUUCUUUGAUGAAAAGUCUCUCCCUUCUCAUGUAAAGUUAGGAUUUGUGAAAUACCCUCCUAUAAGAGCGUUUGUGCACAAACCCCUCUAGUGUCAUACAUGCAAAAGAUGUGGUCAUGCGUCAAGUGUAUGCAGACGGGGAGAAUAUCGUAUGCCAGCUGAGGUUAUGCUGCAACUGUGGUGGCGAACAUGCGCCCGAUUUCCCGGAUUGCCCUGUUAGGGGUGUGGUAUCUGAGGAAUUUAUGACUUUGCUAAUGGUUUCAAAUGGUUUUAGAGGAUGUUGACUCAGCUUAAAGG